GUUUGCUCUUCUGAUCUGUAGAAGAAUGUGUGAUCAACGAAGAAUACAAAAUAUGGAAAAAGAACACCCCUUUUCUUUACCAUUUGGUGAUGACCCAUGCUCUAGAGUGGCCUAGCCUAACUGCACAGUGGCUUGCAGAUGUAACCAGACCAGAAGGGAAAGAAUUCAGUAUUCAUCGACUUGUCCUGGGGACACACAUGUCAGAUGAACAGAACCACCUUGUGAUAGCCAGCGUGCAGCUCCCUAAUGAUGAUGCACAGUUUGAUGCUUCACACUACAACAGUGAUAAUGGAGAAUUUGGAGGUUUUGGCUUGGUUAGUGGAAAAACUGAAAUAGAAAUCAAGAUCAACCAUGAAGGAGAGGUAAACAGGGCAUGCUAUAUGACCCAGAACCCUUGCAUCAUUGCAACAAAGACUCUAUCCAGUGAUGUUCUUGUUUUUGACUAUACAAAAUAUCCUUCUAAACCAGACCCUUCUGGAGAGUACAACCCAGACUUGCACUUCUGUCGACAUCAGAAGGAAGGCUAUGGGCUUUCUUGGAACCCAAAUCUCAGUGGGCACUUACUGAGUGCUUCAGAUGACCACACCAUCUUCCUGUGAGACAUAAGUGCUGUUCCAAAGGAAGGGAAAGUUGUGGACGUGAGGACCAUCUUUACAGAGCACACAGCAGUAGUAGAGGGUAUCUCCUGGCAUCUGCUCCAUGAGUCCCUCUUUGGGUCGGUUGCUGAUGAUCAGAAACUCAUGAUCAGGGAUACUCCUUCAAACAAUAUGUCCAAACCAAGCCACUCAGUUGAUGCUCACAUUGCUGAAGUGAACUGCCUUUCUUUCAGUCCUUAUAGUGAGUUCAUUCUUGCCACAGAUCAGCUCCACAGAUCAGCUGACAAAACUGUGGCCCUGUGGGAUCUGAGAAAUCUGAAACUUAAGUUGCAUUCCUUUGAAUCACAUAAGGAUGAAAUAUUCCAGGUUCAGUGGUCGCCUCACAAUGAGACUAUUUUGGCUUCCAAUGAUAUUGAUCAUAGACUGAAUGUCUGCGAUUUAAGUAAAAUUGGAGAGGAACAAUCCCUAGAGGAUGGGCCGCCAGAGUCAUUGUUUAUUCACGGUGGUCACACUGCCAAGAUAGCUGAUUUCUUCUGGAAUCCCAAAGAACCUUGGGUGAUUUGUUGUCUAUCAGAAGAUAAUAUCAUGCAAGUGUGGCAAAUGGCAGAGAAUAUUUAUAAUGAUGAAGACCCUGAAGGAAGUGUGAAUCCAGAAGGACAAGGAUUUAGAUCAUGUCUGCACUUCUGAUCUCUAGACUCCGCUUUUCUUCCUUUCAACUCUGAGAUUGAUUUAACACUGGUUUUGAGACA